CGAUAGCAUGUUCCUUUGUUGCCUCCAAGCAGUCGGCAGCAGAUUUUUCGCUAUCGGAAACGAAAGCUUGGAUCUUUUUCACCCAGGGUCUACUCAAGAAAGAUAUUUUUUAUCUUUCUGCACCAAUUGUAGACUCUGGUUUUGCGGAUCCAGACAUUU
rnacentral:snoRNA from 2 species